UGCACCUUUCCUGCUCACUGUAACCGCGACACACUACAUUGACCUAGCAAUGGGGCUAGCUCACUGGUUCAAGCAGGAUGCCAAGAAACCACCCUUUGAUCAUGUGCACGGAGCAUCGCUGUUUGAGGAGAGCAUGGAGCGCAAGCAUCCUGAGUUCCACAAGAUGGCAAUGCAAGGUUUAAUUGUCCAUGACAAUUUCGGAACGAACAUUGCGCUGCGGGAGUUGAGUGACAUAUACCAGGGGAUAAAUUCAUUGACUGACUGUUGCUACCAUGGGGACGGAAUGACGGCAAAGGCCAUUGUCAAGGCCUUUCCACACAUGAAGGUCACUGUGCUAGACCUUCCACAAGAGAUUCGAAAAAUACCAACUGAUGGUGUUGUUAACUAUGUUGGAGGUGACAUGUUCAAGUCCAUCCCACGUGCUCAAGUGGUGCUGCUUAAGGUAUGAGUGCAAUAACAGUUUCAUUGCAAAAAAAUCAGUUGACACAUUAAUUUAAUUAGACAAAAAAAUUGAAAUAGACUGGUCAAUGUACUAGCAUCUUUCAUUUAUAGAAAAAUCAUCAAUAUUAUUGGUAUCUAUACUGUAUAAGAUGAACUUAGCUAAACGCUACAUUUUCGUGAUCUCACCUAACGUUAUUGAACUUUUCCAUUGCAGAUGGUGCUGCAUCACUGGAGUGAUGAGGACUGCGUGAAGAUCCUCGCCAAUUGCAAGAAGGCAAUAGCUUCACGAGAAGAGGGAGGAAAAGUUUUGAUUGGAGAUAUAGUUCUCGACCCUGCUUCAGAACCUGUAAUGUUUGAGACCCAUCUCUUGAUGGACGUCUGCAUGAUGCUUAUGAAAGGAGGCCGGCAACGCGACUUAAAUGACUGGCGUGACAUCUUCAUCAAAGCAGGGUUCAGCGACUUCAAGCUUGUCAAGAAAUUUGGAGCUCGAGGUGUCUUGGAGGCCUACCCGUAAGAUUUCUCCUGGACAUUCUUAUAUUGCGGUUGGGCACCAUAAACCUAUAGUGAAUAAAUAAAAAGAGUGCCAUAAUUUUCGAACUAUCGUUUCACGGAACAUGAUCAAGCAGCUUGUUGCUGAGGUUACAAAGCUGGUUUGCUUCAUGAUCUGUAUACUUUCAUUUCGAAAAGUAUAUCUACAAUCUACAACUUGCUCAUAUAUUGUAUGUGUAUGGUAUUGAUAUCCACCAACUGGAGUUGGAUGUGUGUAAUGCCCCUGUUUGCCCCUGUUUCUCAGAAAAGCAACCAUUGUACACUACGGGAAAUAUAAUAUGCAUAAUGGUUGCUCUCCCACCUUCAUGAGGACAGCCUAUUGGAUGACUCGCAUCGGGUGCCAUCAAAGAACCCAUUAACUACUAUAUUCAUGGACUGGAAGGAAAUGAGGCAAUCAUCUAGCUACUACGUUUUUGGGUGCCUUGAUACAAAGCGCCUUCAUGCUAUUAUAUAGGCACUUACCAUAAGUACCAGUAAACAAUUAACUCAUACAUCUCGUAGCCAAUGAACUAUGAAUCAGCAGAAAAUCAUUAUUUUGUUUGAUCAACUAAAGCGCACGACCUGUGACGUUUGGCACUUAGCCCAAGCAUUACACCGAUAUGUGAUUUAGGUAAUACUCCCACAGUACAUUAUGCAUAACCAACACCUUAAAUUUUGUACAAUCAGACUUUUCGUGAUUUGAUCACUAUUUGUAUAAACUUAUGUCACUAUCAUGAAAACACCUCAGAGAUGCACAUUUUCUUGGUACCUGCUCCCACUCUACUAUAACACCUCUCCGUCCCAUCCAAGCAGUUGGCCUCUUAUUUCUUUUUGGUGUAUGUUUCUCAGCCUCGUUCAUGGUGUCUACCUCCAUGCGAAACACGGGUUCAAAUAAGUGUGCAGGUGCAGUAUCUAUGAAAUAAAGGCAGCAAGUUCUCCCAGUUCACAAGAGAAAAUAUCGUUUAUAAUUAUGGUAAUAAAAUAAUGUAGGUCUCAGGACAAACAACCAUAUGUACUCGCACUUACAAAUGUGAUUGCUUCUUGUAAUCCCAAAUUAGUAAUCGUCAGUGCAUGACUUAAAUUAGUAAACAAUUAACUCAUACUCCCUCCAUCCCACAAAGAGUUAUUUUAAAAAAUUUCAGACAGUAUAGUAGUGGUGAGAAAUGUAUAUGUUGCCCCUAAUAACUAAUACUAGUUGUCAUUAAAAAUCAUGCGGUGUGUUUAGUUUCUCGAUCCUAAAUAAAUGCACGCAUUGAAAUCAGAGAAAUAACACCAAUUGAUUAUUUGAUUGGCUCUACACACUUCUCCAUACUUUUUUAUUAUUGGUGUGAGUGUUGUUUUAGUUAGAUGAGAUUUAUUAGGAGGUAAAGGACACUCUUCGUGGGACAAAUUGUAGAAUCUAAAAGGACACUCUUUGCGGGAUGUAGGGAGUAUAUCUCAUAGACAAUGAACUAUAUGAAUCAGCAGUAACCAUUGUUUGAUCAACUAAAGCAUGACCUAUCAUAUAAGGCUAAUUUAAAUUCUGAUCAAUCAGACAUUUCAUGAUUUGACUAUUUGUAUUUCUAAUUCUGGAGAGUGGAUAUAAGAAACUAUGUCACUAUUAUGAAAACACCCUGAGAGAUGCACAUUUUCUAGAUACCUACUCCCACUCUACUAUGACACCUCUCCAUGCCCUCCAAGCAGCUGGCCUCUAAUUUCUCCUGGAUGUAAGGUUUCUUAGCCUCAUUCGUGGUGUCUCUGUCCACGCGAAACACGCGUGUGCAGAUACAUGUACAGAUGCACUAUCGCUUUCCUGACAUAGAGUCCUGAUCCGUCCAUAGAACCAUCUGUGUCCUCGUGGUCCACGGGAGGAUAGCUAAGGCCUUAUUAAUUAACGGUAGCUUACUGAUAGUAGCUAAGAAACACACUAUAUAAUAACCUUCGUCAAGAAUGCAGAACCCAUCUAAGCAAAGCGCACAAAACAACAGAUAGGAUUGAACAACAAUGGCAACUCAGGCCACGCCCAUUGUAGUGCCCACCGAUGCUGAACUGCUGCAGGCACAGGCCGACCUAUGGCGCCACAGCCUCUACUACCUCAAAUCCAUGGCACUGAAGUGUGCCGUGGAGCUCGGCAUACCUACAGCCAUCUACCGCCUAGGCGGUAGUGCCUCGAUUCCUGACCUGAUCACCGCACUGUCACUGCCCGUAGCUAAGCAACAAUUCCUCAGUCGCCUCAUGAGGCUCCUUGCCUCAUCCGGUGUCUUCAGCGUGGUUGACUCCACUGAGGCUACCUACUCCCUCACCCCAUUGUCAUACCUCCUGGUUGACGGCAUUGAAGCCGAUGACCAUAUCAACCAUGCACCUUUCCUGCUCACUGUAACCGCGACACACUACAUUGACCUAGCAAUGGGGCUAGCUCACUGGUUCAAGCAGGAUGCCAAGAAACCACCCUUUGAUCAUGUGCACGGAGCAUCGCUGUUUGAGGAGAGCAUGGAGCGCAAGCAUCCUGAGUUCCACAAGAUGGCAAUGCAAGGUUUAAUUGUCCAUGACAAUUUCGGAACGAACAUUGCGCUGCGGGAGUUCAGUGACAUAUUCCAGGGGAUAAAUUCAUUGACUGACUGUUGCUACCAUGGGGACGGAAUGACGGCAAAGGCCAUUGCCAAGGCCUUUCCACACAUGAAGGUCACUGUGCUAGACCUUCCACAAGAGAUUCGAAAAAUACCAACUGAUGGUGUUGUUAACUAUGUUGGAGGUGACAUGUUCAAGUCCAUCCCACGUGCUCAAGUGGUGAUGCUUAAGGUAUGAGUGCAAUAACAGUUUCAUUGCAAAAAAAUCAGUUGACACAUUAAUUUAAUUAGACAAAAAAAUUGAAAUAGACUGGUCAAUGUACUAGCAUCUUUCAUUUAUAGAAAAAUCAUCAAUAUUAUUGGUAUCUAUACUGUAUAAGAUGAACUUAGCUAAACGCUACAUUUUCGUGAU
rnacentral:lncRNA from 1 species